GACGAACGCUGGCGGCGUGCUUAACACAUGCAAGUCGAGCGGUAAGGCCCUUUCGGGGGUACACGAGGCGGCGAACGGGUGAGUAACACGUGGGUGACCUGCCCUCAGCUCUGGGAUAAGCCUGGGAAACUGGGUCUAAUACCGGAUGUGACCUUCUGUUGCAUGACAGUGGGUGGAAAGUUCUGGGCUUGAUUGUCUGGGCUCGGCUGGGGAUGGGCCCGCGGCCUAUCAGCUUGNGGUGGGUGAUGGCCUACCAAGGCGACGACGGGUAGCCGGCCU
rnacentral:rRNA from 1 species